rnacentral:tRNA from 1 species
GGAGUUGUGCCUGAACUAAAGGAUCACUUUGAUAGGGUGAAUAAUGAAGGUUAAAACCCCUCCGACUCCU